rnacentral:lncRNA from 1 species
CCUCCUCUCUCUCUCUCUCUCUCUCUCUCUCCAUUUACGUUUCUCCAGCCCUUUUCUGCGCAAGAUUAAGUCAACACUAGAAGCCAAACAACUUUUAGAUUUUGAUUCUCUAUGGCAUAGAUUUAAUUUUUAAACGACUAUUUUGAAGACCAAAAUCUCAACCCGUGACCCCGUUGAUUUUGGAUUCAAAUUUCAAAUCAAAACUCAAGUUCCAUCUAUAAAUAUUCCCCAAAGUUUUCAGACAAAAGAGGGCUGGAACAGUGUGAAGACCAAGAUUUUGGAACACAAUAAAACAAUCUCUCUCAACUCAACUCAAUCUUUCAAUAUUGAUCUUUCUUUUAGUACUUACAAUCUAAUACUCAAAAGUUCUUUAAUUUUGUUGCUCAACUCUUGUCUUGUGGAGUAGAUCUAAAAACCUCGAAAGUUCCAGUUCACUGCCCCGUGGAAGGUAAAUCUGAUUCCAUUGUUGUUUUCGCUCUUUUCUUUGAUCAUAAAUACUAUGUUCCGAAUUAUAGAAAUUGUGUUUUAAGCUUGCCCUUUUAUGCCAUACAAAUCUGUCCAUUAAGUCUGGCGAUAGAAUGUUAAAGUUAGAAAUCAUGCUUUCAGAAAUGUAUCACUAUUUUGCUUGAGGGUAUGUUCUUUGAAUCUUAAUACGUCUUUUAUGUUCAGUAGUUUUGGUCUUAAAUGUUAGACUCUUUUACACGUAGAGGUCAUAUUUAGGCUCAUAUUUAUUAAGUAUCAUGUUGUGAAUCUUUACUAGUAGAAACCAUGUCGUGGACACCUUAUUAUUUGACUAACAUGUUUAAGGAUAAUUUGAGUUACAAAAUAUUCAUUUUGACAACUUUUUGUAUCUUGAUUCAAUUAAUUUUUUCCUUUACUAAAACUCGCAUUAAUAUUUCAUUCUCCUAUAAAUGACAUAUUCAUAAGCCUUGACUCAACUGACAUGUAAAAAUGAAGUAUAAAAACCAUGUAUGUAGGUUUAUUAUUACACACAUAAGGUAUGACUUUAUUUGUGUUAUUUUUUAGAAAAGGCAUGACUAUAUGAAAAUAGUUCAUUCCUUCAUUAAAAGUGUUGUAACUUUUGGUUCAGGAAUUCAUGUCUUAAAAUAGAAUUUUUUGUAUAUUUUUACUUAAAGGAUUAUCUAAAUUAGGAACUUUGAGGUGGAUACUAUAAGGCAUUUGUGAUACCUUGAAACCACAUAUUCAUUUUCUGUGACUUCAACUAGGGGGCUAAUAGAUUAUUUACUAUUAUAAUAUUUAUAUUUAUAACUUGAUUGAUCCUCUUUGUAUUAAAUAGAGAUGAUUUGAUAAAAAUUACUUCCAUUCCUUCCUAAUUUUCAUUAUGAAGGCUCGGGUUUCUUCUUCUAAUUCUUAUUUUCUUUCUCUUCUUUCUUUGUUCGCAUGUACACUUGGGACGAGUGUUCGAAUUCUAAUGCAAGAGUCUUUCAAUUCUCAUGGAGUUAGCUAUCACAUUUGUCUAUUCCAUGUGGUCUCGGAUAGCAUUCAAGGAAACAAUUGAUGAAUAGCAAAAGCAUGGUCCUUUGUGGGGAUUUUGGGACAGGCGUUUAAGCCUAUUUUUUUUUAUAUCUAAUGCCUUUUCUUUGUCCCUUGAUUAUAUGACUAAAUGAUUAUCUUGAUUAUUUAAAUUACUUGUUUAUGUGCUAAGAUUAUCUGGGUUUGAAAUACAGCUAAUAACUAGCAUGAUCACUUAAGGUUAUUCAUUUAGUUUAAUAACCAAACUUUAUUAAAAUAUGUCGGAUAAUAGUUUUGGCUUUACGGACAUAAAGACACGUGAUUUUCACUCCUGGUUUUUAACAAAUGUAUUUCUUUUAAACAAGAUAAUAGUCAUUAGAAUAUUUUUAAGUUCAUGUUUGAUUACGUUAAGAUGAUUUUAACUCACAAUUUUUUAUGCAUAGAUAUUUUCAAAGUCAAGCUCUUUUGAAUUCAACCCUUUUUUUAAUCAUUUAUACACUCUACACUUAGCCUUAAUUAUCUUAAGUCCGGUCGGUUAACCAUUUUAAUAUGGAUUUUAAAGAGUGCCUUACACCUUCUCUUUAAGAUUAACUGAAUCCUUACCUUAGAAUUUCUGAAGUUUAGUAAACUUAUAGAGUUAAUAAUUGAUAGAUUAACUGAAUCCUUACCUUAGAAUUUCUGAAGUUUAGUAGACCUUAUAGAGUUAAUAAUUGAUAAUUUUGGUGCCCUAAUUCACCUUUGAAAUAAUUAGAUGGCGGCUCUUUAGUUAAUAAUUAAAUCAGGAAUCACCAAUAUGUUAUAGCCUAAUUUGACCUGUGUUAAAAUGGGGUGUAUUGUAAAUAUUUUUUGUAAACAUCUCUUAUAAAUAUAAAGAACCUCUUUGCUUCAUCUUUGAUUUGUGUUGAAUUCCAUUUUGUCUUCAUUUGUGAAAAUUUUGAUCGUAUAACUCUAAUGAUCAGUCCGAAUAUUGGACUUAAAACAUAAUAAAGCCUUAGGUUUUUUAUUGAUCAAAACAAUACCUCUUAAGGUUUGUUGUUAAUCCUCGAGUUGACCUUAAAUUGAUUUGAUGCGAGCUCGGGAUGUCGGGACUUUUGAGUCCGAGUUGAGUGAGAGCAAGGUCUCGAACCUUAUAUAUUUUGGCCCUUAGGCUCUUUUAUGUCGGCCCUUAGGCUCUUUUAGGUCGUCUCUUAGUCUCUUUAAGUUGGGCCAAUUCGGCUACAAAUUUUCCCUCUAUUCGGCUAAAAGACUUAGUGAUAUUUUUCUAUGCCUUAGCAUGUAUUUUUUUUUUUUGUACCUGUUGGUUUUUCAAAGGUUCUACAGAUCGAAACCCCAUUUGUAAUUCAUUUGUGUAACAACAAUCGAAUACCUCUUGAGGUUUUUUCGAAGGAUGAUGUUUAUUGAAGCCUUUAAAUUAUUCGAGGGCUGAUUUUAUUGAAGCCCCUUUAUUAUUUGCUUUUGCCGAGGGUAGCCUGAUUUAACCAAUUUUUCAAAGUGUUUGAAGGCCUGUAAUUUAUGGCGGAAGUCGGACGUCUCCGAGCCACAUUAUUGCGGCUGUAGGGUUUAUAUGAUCGUAGCCUUUAAUGUGGUCGUAGAUUUUGGGUAUGUCUCUUGGACUUGUUUCCUGAUAACCUUUCGAACUUGUUCGAAGUGUUAGUCCCCGAGUAUGAUGGACUUGGACUUUAUAUCGAGGGGGUGCCUCUUUGAGGUCUUAUGAGUUUGAGUUUUUUAUGACUCAGAUGUGUUGAUUGUCGAUGUCAGUCCCCGAGUAUUUGGGGUGCAUUGGACUUUAGGCCAUUUCUCAUAGAAUUAUAAGUGCAGAGCUCGUAUAAUAGUAGACUUAUUUUGAGACACAAAGUGUUUUGAUAUAGAAACAAUGCUUCUUUGAAUAAUGCGUACAUGUUUUGCCGUCGGGGCUCGACUAUACUAUAUGGACACAGUUUAUCUGACCGUUUGACCCAUUACAAAGUUCUCUUAUCGAGACCCUCUUUGGCGUGAAGUAUUUUCCUCGAAAAUAUAUCCUCCAAGGGUAAUGCCCCUAUUAUUCGAGGUUGAUUAAAAGAAUCCUUGGAUACUGUUGAGUUCUCCUUAAGUAGCACAUAGUUGUUGCCUCGUUAAAAUCUCACCGGUAAAAUCCAUUUGGGACAAAAUACGAUCUAAGGGAAAAAGAGUGUAACACAUGCUUUAAAACCUAAGGUCUUCGUGUAAAAAAGUGCCUCUGAUAGCUUCGAUCGAACACAUGCAGUGGGUUAGUUUCAAAUUUAGAUGGACAAAAGAGAAAAGCAUACAUUAGCAAUGGUAUUGUUUGAGUAAUAAUACGUUCCAAUUGUUUGGCAGUUGUUCACCUUCCAUUGUGCUAAGUUUGUAAGAUCCUUUACCGACAACUCCGAGGACUCGGUACGGUUCUUCCCAAUUUGAUACUAGUUUCCCUUUAUUUGGGUCUCGAGUAUUGAGGGUGACUUUUCGUAGAACUAAGUCCCCGAAUCCAAAGUGUCGAAGGUUGGUCCUUCUAUUGUAGUAUCUCUCGAUUCUUUGCUUUUGCGCGGCCAUCCGAACAAGUGAUGCCUCUCGUUUUUCAUCUAAUAGCUCGAGGCUAGUAUUCAUAGCUUCGUGAUUUGACUCCUCCGAUGCAUGUCGAAACCUGGUACUGGGUUCUCCGACCUCGACAGGGAUAAGGGACUCAGAUCCAUAAACUAAAGAGAACGGAGUAGCCCAUGUGCUAGACUUCGAUGUUGUUCAAUAUGCCCAAAGGACCUCGGGUAGAACUUCUCUCCAUUUCCCCUUUGCAUUGUCCAACCUUUUCUUCAAGUUUUGAAUGAUAGUUUUGGUUGUUGUUUCAGCCUGUCCAUUUCUAGUUGGGUGAUACGGUAUUGAUAAGAUACUCUUUAUUUUAUGUGCUUUGAGGAACUUCGUCACCUUGCUGUCGAUGAAUUAUUUUCCAUUGUCACAUACAAUCUCGGCACGCAUCCCAAACCGACAUAUGAUGUUAUCCUAGAUGAAGUCAAUAACUUCCUUUUUUCUGACCUUCUCGAAGGCCUAUGCUUCCACCCAUUUAGAAAAGUAAUCAGUCAUAAAUAAAAUAAAUUUAGCUUUACCUGGGGCCAUUGAUAGGGGGCCGACUAUGUCCAUCCCCCAUUUCAUGAAAGGCCACGGGGAUAGGACCGAGUGGAGCUGUUCUCCAGGCUGAUGGAUCAUCGGUGCAAACCUUGGCAUUUAUCACAUUUUUUGACAAACUCAUUAGUAUCUUUUUCCAUGAUGUCCCAGUAAUACCCUGCUCUGAUAAUUUUGCGAAACAAAGACUUGGCGCCGGAGUGGUUGUCGCGCCCCCUUUUUCUCGCGAAAUCGGGUUUAUGACAUUUGCGAGGACAACUCAUUCCUUUUGGGAAUUGUGUUUGACUUGAAGAGUCGCCACCUAUGAUUAAGGUGCAUUAGGACACCAAGAGGGAUUGAUUUGAGUAACCAGAGAUUGUGUAAGGGCUUGAAAUUAUCCCAAGGGGAAGGUAUUAGGCACCCCUCAGGAUCCACUAGUGUGGUUCCCGACCAGACUAUUAUUGUGAAUUUAAGUGCAAAUAACAUGUAGGCAAAUGAAACUUCAAAUAAGAGGGGAUUUUCAUGUAAUGACUUAUAAAUAAACAAAGUUGGAAAGAACAAAAAGAAAGCUGAUUUUUCUUAAAAGAAAUAGUUUGAUAUGUUUAGAUGAAACAAAGAAACAAAGGGAAAGGGGGGGUCCUAGGUUUAUUCAUAAUAUGGAUCACCCCACACAAUGCCCGGUAAUCACUCCUCAAUGAGGGGCUACACGUGACAUUAUCGUGUGGUCAUCAUAUCCAUAUCUACCCUUCCCACCCCGUUAAGGUAUUAAAGCACGGAAUGGUCUCAAUUACUUAUUGCAUGUUAUUACCCGUCCCAAUCCUAUCUGUCCCGGAGGCAUUUAGGACUACUAAUCCUAAAAGGGAGGGAUAUUAGGCUUAUUUGUAGUUUCAACGGCAAAAAUUCUAAGGUGACAUACAAAACACGUAUUGCAAGUUGAGGAAAGCACAUAAUAAGCAGAGGCUCAGAUAUACCUCCUUACACAAAGAAGCAUGUAAUUAGCAUGACUUACAUAUACUGUUUAGGGUCUGAUUAAAUACUAGACAUGAAAGAACUUAAAGGUUGAGGCAGACUGAUUUAUUACAUAGUUCAGAUAAGAAGCCCGAAUCAGGCUUGCCUGCUGGUUAUAGUUAAUAGAACAAAUUCAGUUUAUAACUUUACCCUAAGGUUUGCCUAAGUGUUGGACAAAGAUCCUAUAGGCAUGGUAUCUACUGAAUUCAGAAAGCAAAAUAAACUGAAUAUGUACUGGUUAAAAGGGAUAGUCAGAUUACUAAAAGAAAGGCAAGUUUUAACGAAGGUUAUAAGUUCUGCAACUGAUGGUACCUGUUAUUACUGGUUUUAGCUCUAUACGUGAAUGAAGCGAUUCAGAUUCGAUUAGGAAUUCCUAUAGACAUGCUUUCUAUGCGUAGUUGAUUUUGAAUCUUGUGGACAUGGUAUAAAAAUGCAGGAGACUCGUUUUAAACCUAUGAACAUGAUAUCUAGAUGCUGAAUGAACAUGGUAUCCAAGUGCAAUUGGAUGUUUAAGUCCUAUGGACAUGAUAUCUAGGUGCAAUUGAUCGUGCAGAUUUAGACAAUCAUGUAGGCAUGAUUUCUAUAUGAAUAUAGUAUCCCUAUGAUCAUGAUUUCUAUAUGAAUGUAGGAUAUACAGAAUUCAGAAGGAACUAUAGGCAUGAUAUCUAGGAACUAUAUGCAGAUUUCCAAACAUCUAUAGGCAUGAUUUCUAUAUGCAGAUUCAAAAUUCCUAUAGACAUGGUAUCUACCCUUUUUGCAUACAUAGUUACCUGCCCUUUUUUUACUAACCAUACCCAAGAGUUUAUUACAAAUUAUUACAACCCGGAAUAAAGUAAAAAUACAUCAAAAAAUAUAAAUAAAAGUACAACCAAAGGAGAGCCUAAUUCAGACUUCAUGUCUGAAAUAUGAGGUAAACCAACUCCAUGAGAUCAUGAUCCAAAGCAUUUCUCCCAUUUGAGUGUGUCAAAGUUCCCUAAGAGCCUCAAAGGGACUCCGGACAAUGCUCACACCCAAAUGUAUAAUCAGAUUAGGACAAGUGCAGUGUGAAGGGCCAGCCCCCAAGUGUCCAAGUUCAGAGGGAACUCAAAGGGUCCCAAGACAAGGCUCACAAGAGGGGGGCAGAACUUAAAGACUAAGAAAGUGUGCAAGUGCAGAAUAGAAUGCUAAAGGGGAAAAGGUGAGGGAAACAACUACUAAUAAACACACAUAGGGGGGUUCAGGGGAAUGGGGAGAUUGUAAAGAGCCUAUUGCCUAGGCAAAGGCAGGCUUUAGGCAUGCCCAGCAAUGGAGGAUGGUAGCAUACCCAUAAGCCUGCUAGAACACACACUACUAGAGGCUAGGAUCCCAGGGGAUCAAGUUUAAUUCAUGGACAAUAAUUUGCAUAUUGUCAUGCCUCAAACCAUAGCAUGAACAGAUAAGGGGUAGGGGCUUGGGAUUUAUAACAGACAGGCAGAAAGAAACCAGUAGUGUUGAACCACACAAAAGCAAUAAGCAAACAGGGAUACAGAGCAGUAAAUAAACACAUUGUUGUGGUGCUAAAAAAGCUUAAAUCAAGACAUACCAGUUUCAAAGAAGCAAAUAAAGAAAGGCAGGCAGUAAGUCUUAUGAACAGGCCACAGUACAAGCAACAAGAGAGAAUACUUUUGAGUGUGAGUGUAAGUUCAGAAAGACUACGAGUGAUGGAUAUUUUUGCUAAUGAAAGAGUAGUGAUUUAUAGUGUGAAAAAAUAGGCAGAAAUAAGGUAAGAAAACAAUUAAGGAACUGGAUAUCAAUUAAAAAUCAAUCAAUACAAGACUUCCUUUAAUUAAGGAAUUCAGACUUAAACGGUAAAAGUUAUUUAAGGAAAGAAAUCAAAUAAGCAUCUUGUGCAAAGUAGGCAAUUAGGGGUAAAUACAUAGGGGUUUAAUUAAGGGAAGAAUUUUGAAAUAUACGGUUAAAACAAAUAAGGUAAGGAUCAAUCAGUAUACAGUAAAUCAAGGGGUCAGAGAUUUUUGUAAUCAUUGGUCCAUGAGUGAACCAAGUCAGAAAAGCUAAGGAAAGUUUUUGACUCAAAUUGAGUAACAGGGAAGUCAGCAGACAAGGAAAGAAAUCAAUCAAACUUAUACAAAAGAAGUCUGAAAUCAAUCAAAAUUGAAAGCCAUUUUUAGAGGGAAGUUCAGCACAUAUAAAGAGCACACAAAUAUGCUAGGCUGGAUUUAGGGCAAAGAAAAAAAAAA